ACCACCUCUCCCCAGUCACUCACCAGUCAACACCCAGGCAUUACGAUGAACCAGCAACACCAGCCUACUCACUCAUCCAGUCAGUCACUCAGCCAGUCAAUGGAUCAGAAAACCGUCACAAGCUAAUGAAAGUAGUGGAAGAACGCCAUCCAGUCACCUCAUCCAGCAUCUCAUCCAGUCACCUCACACACACGUCAACCUCUGCCAACAGGUGUGGAGGUAAACCUGGUAGUACUGCAGGUGUGGGGAUGACACUGGUGGUACUGCAGGUGUGGAGAUGACGCUGAUGGUACUACAGGUGUGGAGAUGAUGCUGAUGGUACUACAGGUGUGGAGAUGAUGCUGAUG
rnacentral:lncRNA from 1 species